UACAGAGGGUGCGAGCGUUAAUCGGAAUUACUGGGCGUAAAGCGUGCGCAGGCGGUUUUGUAAGUCUGACGUGAAAUCCCCCGGGCUCAACCUGGGAAUUGCGUUGGAGACUGCAAGGCUAGAGUUUGGCAGAGGGGGGGGUAGAAUUCCACGUGUAGCAGUGAAAUGCGUAGAUAUGUGGAGGAACACCGAUGGCGAAGGCAGCCCCCUGGGUCAAGACUGACGCUCGAUGCACGAAAGCGUGGGGAGCAAACAGG
rnacentral:rRNA from 1 species